UGCAAGUCGAACGAGAUCCUUAGCGAAGCUUGCUUUGCUAAGUCUAGUGGCGAACGGGUGAGUAACACGUGAGCAACCUGCCCAGAAGCAGGGGAUAAGCCACCGAAAGGUGGUCUAAUACCGUAUGUGAUACUAAGAGGCAUCUCUUGGAUAUUAAAGGGGGGGACCUUCGGGCCUCUCACUUCUGGAUGGGCUCGCGGCCUAUCAGCUUGUUGGUGAGGUAACGGCUCACCAAGGCAACGACGGGUAGCUGGUCUGAGAGGACGACCAGUCACACUGGAACUGAGACACGGUCCAGACACCUACGGGUGGCAGCAGUCGAGAAUCAUUCACAAUGGGCGAAAGCCUGAUGGUGCGACGCCGCGUGGAGGAUGACAGCCCUAGGGUUGUAAACUCCUGUCAUGAGAGAGUAAAGACUUAACGUUAACACCGUUGGGUCCUGAUAGUAUCUCAAGAGGAAGGGACGGCUAACUUCGUGCCAGCAGCCGCGGUAAUACGAAGGUCCCAAGCGUUGUUCGGAAUUACUGGGCGUAAAGCGUGCGUAGGUGGCAUGGUAAGUCAGAUGUGAAAUCCCGGGGCUCAACCCCGGAACUGCAUCCGAUACUGCCAAGCUAGAGUAGUGGAGGGGAGUCUGGAAUUCACGGUGUAGCAGUGAAAUGCGUAGAUAUCGUGAGGAACGCUAGUGGCGAAGGCGAGACUCUGGACACUAACUGACACUGAGGCACGAAGGCUAGGGUAGCGAAAGGGAUUAGAUACCCCUGUAGUCCUAGCAGUAAACGGUGCGCGUUUGGUGUGGGCGGGUUCGACCCCGUCUGUGCCGAAGCUAACGCGUUAAACGCGCCGCCUGGGGAGUACGGCCGCAAGGCUAAAACUCAAAGAAAUUGACGGGGACCCGCACAAGCGGUGGAGUAUGUGGCUUAAUUCGAUGCAACGCGAAGAACCUUACCUAGGCUUGACAUGCUUGUCGUAGUUCUGUGAAAGCA
rnacentral:rRNA from 1 species